AUUGAACGCUGGCGGCAGGCCUAACACAUGCAAGUCGAACGAGUGGCAGACGGGUGAGUCAUGUCUGGGAAACUGCCAGAAGGAGGGAGAUAACUACUGAAAACGGUCGCUAAUACCGCAAAACAUCGAAUGUCCCAAGAUGGGAUUAGCUAGUAGGUGGGGGAACGGCUCACCUAGGCGACGCUCCCUAGCUGGUCUGAGAGGAUGACCAGCCACACUGGAACUGAGACACGGUCCAGACUCCUACGGGAGGCAGCAGUGGGGAAUAUUGCACAAUGGGCGCAAGCCUGAUGCAGCCAGGCCGCGUGUAUGAAGAAGGCCUUCGGGUUGUAAAGUACUUUCAGCGAGGAGGCGUUACUCGCAGAAGAAGCACCGGCUAACUCCGUGCCAGCAGCCGCGGUAAUUC
rnacentral:rRNA from 1 species